UGAGGAAUUUUCCGCAAUGGCCGAAUGGCUGACGGAGCGACACAGCGUGGAGGAUGAAGGAUUUCGGUUCGUAAACUCCUUUUCUGAGAGAAUAAGGUCUGAAGUUAUCUCAGGAAUAAGCACCGGCUAACUACGUGCCAGCAGCCGCGGUAAUACGUAGGGUGCAAGCAUUAUCCGGAAUUAUUGGGCGUAAAGCGUCUGUAGGCGGCGAAUCAAGUAGAGAAUUAAAUCUUCGGGCCCAACCCGAAACAUGUUUUCUAAACUGGUUUGCUUGAGGUAUGGAGAGGUAACUGGAAUUCCUGGUGUAGGGGUAAAAUCCGUUGAUAUCAGGAGGAACGCUAAAAGCGAAGGCAGGUUACUGGCCAUUUCUGACGCUGAGAGACGAAAGCGUGGGUAGCAAACAGG
rnacentral:rRNA from 1 species